rnacentral:rRNA from 1 species
AUUGAACGCUGGCGGCAUGCUUUACACAUGCAAGUCGAACGGCAGCGCGGGCUUCGGCCUGGCGGCGGGUGGCGAACGGGUGAGUAAUGCAUCGGAACGUGCCCAGUAGUGGGGGAUAGCCCGGCGAAAGCCGGAUUAAUACCGCAUACGACCUGAGGGUGAAAGCGGGGGACCGAAAGGCCUCGCGCUAUUGGAGCGGCCGAUGUCGGAUUAGCUAGUUGGUGGGGUAAAGGCUUACCAAGGCGACGAUCCGUAGCUGGUCUGAGAGGACGACCAGCCACACUGGGACUGAGACACGGCCCAGACUCCUACGGGAGGCAGCAGUGGGGAAUUUUGGACAAUGGGGGCAACCCUGAUCCAGCCAUGCCGCGUGCGGGAAGAAGGCCUUCGGGUUGUAAACCGCUUUUGUUCGGGAAGAAAUCCUCUGGGCUAAUACCCCGGGGGGAUGACGGUACCGGAAGAAUAAGCACCGGCUAACUACGUG